UCAGGCCUAACACAUGCAAGUCGAGCGGUAACAUUGAUAGCUUGCUAUCAGAUGACGAGCGGCGGACGGGUGAGUAAUGCUUGGAAAUCUGCCUGAUAGAGGGGGACAACCACGGGAAACUGUGGCUAAUACCGCAUAAUCUAUUCGUAGCAAAGUGGGGGACCUUCGGGCCUCACGCUAUCAGAUGAGUCCAAGUGGGAUUAGCUAGUUGGUGAGGUAAGAGCUCACCAAGGCGACGAUCUCUAGCUGGUUUGAGAGGAUGAUCAGUCACACUGGAACUGAGACACGGUCCAGACUCCUACGGGAGGCAGCAGUGGGGAAUAUUGCACAAUGGGCGCAAGCCUGAUGCAGCCAUGCCGCGUGUGUGAAGAAGGCCUUCGGGUUGUAAAGCACUUUCAGUCGCGAGGAAGGGCUAUCAGUUAAUAGCUGGUAGCAUUGACGUUAACGACAGAAGAAGCACCGGCUAACUCCGUGCCAGCAGCCGCGGUAAUACGGAGGGUGCGAGCGUUAAUCGGAAUCACUGGGCGUAAAGCGCAUGCAGGCGGUUUGCUAAGCGAGAUGUGAAAGCCCCGGGCUUAACCUGGGAACUGCAUUUCGAACUGGCGAACUAGAGUCUUGUAGAGGGGGGUAGAAUUUCAGGUGUAGCGGUGAAAUGCGUAGAGAUCUGAAGGAAUACCAGUGGCGAAGGCGGCCCCCUGGA
rnacentral:rRNA from 1 species